rnacentral:rRNA from 1 species
AGAACGAACGCUGGCGGCAGGCUUAACACAUGCAAGUCGAAUGCCCCGCAAGGGGAGUGGCAGACGGGUGAGUAACGCGUGGGAAUCUACCCAAUUCUACGGAACAACAGUUGGAAACGACUGCUAAUACCGUAUACGCCCUACGGGGGAAAGAUUUAUCGGAAUUGGAUGAGCCCGCGUUGGAUUAGCUAGUUGGUGGGGUAAAGGCCUACCAAGGCGACGAUCCAUAGCUGGUCUGAGAGGAUGAUCAGCCACAUUGGGACUGAGACACGGCCCAAACUCCUACGGGAGGCAGCAGUGGGAAUAUUGGACAAUGGGCGCAAGCCUGAUCCAGCCAUGCCGCGUGAGUGAUGAAGGUCUUAGGAUUGUAAAGCUCUUUCACCGGAGAAGAUAAUGACGGUAUACCGGAGAAACGAAGCCCCGGCUAAACUUCGUAGCCAGCAGCCGC